UGGGGAAUAUUGGACAAUGGGGGCAACCCUGAUCCAGCCAUGCCGCGUGUGUGAAGAAGGCCUUUUGGUUGUAAAGCACUUUAAGCAGUGAAGAAGACUCCAUGGUUAAUACCUAUGGACGAUGACAUUAGCUGCAGAAUAAGCACCGGCUAACUCUGUGCCAGCAGCCGCGGUAAUACAGAGGGUGCAAGCGUUAAUCGGAAUUACUGGGCGUAAAGCGAGCGUAGGGGGCUUGAUAAGUCAGAUGUGAAAGCCCCGGGCUUAACCUGGGAACGGCAUCUGAUACUGUUAGGCUAGAGUAGGUGAGAGGAAGGUAGAAUUCCAGGUGUAGCGGUGAAAUGCGUAGAGAUCUGGAGGAAUACCGAUGGCGAAGGCAGCCUUCUGGCAUCAUACUGACACUGAGGUUCGAAAGCGUGGGUAGCAAACA
rnacentral:rRNA from 1 species